CUGAGGAAGCAGAAGUUAACCUGAGAGGGAGCAGGCCCGAGCUUUGAAGUUCACGGUUUUGUUUCCUUGACGGCCUCGUUAGCUCCGCGCGUCUCCUCACGCGCGCCGGGCCCCGACCGACCGGGCCCGUCUCCCCGGCCUCUCGGAACGGGCCUCGCGUUUGGAAGUGCGGUUUUGGUUGGGAGGUCGGAGGGGCCAUGUUUGAGUCCUCGUUUUCUACUUUGAGUUCACUUGUGGGCUCUUUCCUUUUUUCGGCCCGAGACCCGACUGUGCCGCCCUAGGAGCCGGCGUGGCCUGCAGGGAGACUGAUUGCCGGCCGCUCCCCGCGUCCUCUCGGCCCCGACUUCCGCCCACCCCCAAACUGCAGGGCUCCGAGGUUCUUUCCCGCAGGCUCCGGCCCCGAAAGGGCAAUUUCCUUGGGGGGUUGUGUUUGGGCGAGAGGAGAACAGAACAGGGGUGUUGGGGGCCUGGAACCCGCGGCGUUUUAUUGCAUCCGCCGCGCAGCUGGAAUCGGCCCGGGCCUAUUCGGGACGGGGGCGGGGGAGUGGGGCGCCCAUUUCCCACGGGCGACCCGGGGCGGAAGUCGGGGCCGUCGGGUUGGGCUCCCCAAGGCGGCGGGGUCACUCGGCCGCGAGGGCCUUCGAGGGCGGCCCCGCAUGCAGCAGGAUCUGUCGUGUAGUAGGCAGAAGUACACACAAACCAAGCCCGCGCCCAGCCGCCUUCCACUCCGCCCUGAUAAGGGCCAGCGACAGUAUGUCCAUGUAUGUUCCACAAGGACAUUUUUGAGAGUUGUGGGUUUCCAAAAUUUUAAGCACUAGAAAAGAAGAAAUCGAAAAAUGUGAGUAUAGGAUUUUGUUAGAGCAAUUUUUGCCUUUUAUUUAUUUAUUUUGGUGUAUAGAGUUACUUCACAAUGUUUGUGGAAAGUGGAAUGAAAGUUAAAUUUAUUUUAGGUACAAAAAAAGUGAGACCCAUGCCUAGUUUUGUAUAAUGUGCAUUUCGAUGAAUUUUUGAAGACCUUUGGUGUUUACACAACACAAUGUUAAAUGGGAUUUUAGCAGUGGCUGUAGACAAUUCAAACAGAUUUCCUUAUCUGCUUUCCCCUGAUAUUGUCAUCUACAUGUAAUUCAGGGCUGAUCACAAUUCCAUGUCACUUUGAGCUGAAUAGACACGAACGCUUCUUGAAUCUUCCCUGUUUGCUUCCAUGACUGGGGAGAAGUGGGCAGUAUUUGGAAAUAUCUCAUAUCACUGCUGCGACUGCCUGAGGAAUCAUGUGAGCACUAUGGCUGCUACUUUGUUAGGUGCACAGUUGCCUGGGGUGUCUCUUACUAGUUUCUGCUCAUACGCGCGUAGGUCCUCGGAUCUGGAUUAACCGGAAAGUACGGCUGACAUUUCUAAUCUGAAAUCCUGAAAUCCAAAAUGCUCAUAAAUCUGACACUUUUUGAGUGCCAUCCUGAUGCAAAGUCCAACGUUUUGGACUUUGGACCACUUUGGAUUUCAGAGUUUCACAUUAGGGGAUGCUCAACUAGAAAAGUUGAUGAAAAUGUCCCCAAAUCUGAAAAAUUCCAGAAUCUGAAACACUCCAGUCCCAACAUUUCAGAAAAGGGCUACUCUACCUGUACAGGAAAGAUCAAUUAGAGAUUGUCUGGAAAAUUCAGAUCAAAAACUACUUUGCAUGGAAAUACAUCCAAGGG
rnacentral:lncRNA from 1 species